CCUACGGGGGGCUGCAGUGGGGAAUAUUGGACAAUGGGCGAAAGCCUGAUCCAGCCAUGCCGCGUGUGUGAAGAAGGCCUUCGGGUUGUAAAGCACUUUCAGUGGGGAAGAAAGCCUUGGGGCUAAUACCCUCGAGGAAGGACAUCACCCACAGAAGAAGCACCGGCUAACUCCGUGCCAGCAGCCGCGGUAAUACGGAGGGUGCGAGCGUUAAUCGGAAUUACUGGGCGUAAAGCGCGCGUAGGCGGUCUGAUAAGCCGGUUGUGAAAGCCCCGGGCUCAACCUGGGAACGGCAUCCGGAACUGUCAGGCUAGAGUGCAGGAGAGGAAGGUAGAAUUCCCGGUGUAGCGGUGAAAUGCGUAGAGAUCGGGAGGAAUACCAGUGGCGAAGGCGGCCUUCUGGACUGACACUGACGCUGAGGUGCGAAAGCGUGGGUAGCAAACAGGAUUAGAUACCCUUGUCGUC
rnacentral:rRNA from 1 species